rfam:Metarhizium acridum CQMa 102 unplaced genomic scaffold Scf_053, whole genome shotgun sequence.
GUCCGCAUAGCGUAGUGGUUUAUCGCGCCUGUCUUACACUAUCCUCAGGACAUGUAGGACACAGGAGGUCCCAGGUUCGAUCCCUGGUGCGAACA